UACGUAGGGUGCAAGCGUUGUCCGGAAUUAUUGGGCGUAAAGAGCUCGUAGGCGGUCUGUCGCGUCGGCUGUGAAAUCCCGGAGCUCAACUCCGGGUCUGCAGUCGAUACGGGCAGACUGGAGUUCGGCAGGGGAGACUGGAAUUCCUGGUGUAGCGGUGAAAUGCGCAGAUAUCAGGAGGAACACCGGUGGCGAAGGCGGGUCUCUGGGCCGAUACUGACGCUGAGGAGCGAAAGCAUGGGGAGCGAACAGG
rnacentral:rRNA from 1 species